AAUUGUAUCCUUUUUUGAUUUGCCAAAAUAGCGUACAAAAAUGUGAUGCCAAUGAAAGACCCCCAGAGCGGGGAGACCCUCACUCAAGUCUCAGGAUGACUCGACCCCCAAGAACUCACACAAGACC
rnacentral:pre_miRNA from 14 species